GUUCAGCCAGGCCCGUUUCCAGCAAACGUUGACUCCUUCCCUUAGGUAUGUGUUGCUCUCCAUGACACGCUAACAACAGCUCUUCACAGAAGUGCCUGGCUGGGGCUGUAAAGGUUGAAACAAAAAAUGGGAAAGCUGGUGGUGAUUUAAGGGAGGAAAGACGAAGAUUUGGCUUCCUGAAGCAUAUACCAUGCUUAGAAAUGGAGAGGAGAUGUCUGUUUCUUCUGUCUGAUCUUCAAGAAGUGCUUUCUAAACCUUUCAUAACUUGAGAAGUUAACUGGCAUGGCCAAACCAAGCAAGCAGCAAGGCAGGCGGCUGUUGUCAUGAGACUAUGGAAAUUAUGUUAGACAAAAGCAAAUUCGAGUGAUUGGAGUUCAAACUUGGAGCUAUUGGAGUUCAGAAUGGGUCGUAAAGCAGCGGAGACAACUCACAACAUCAACAAUACGGUUGGCCCAGGAACUGCUACUGAAUGUAAAGUGCAGUGGUGGGUCAAGACGUUUCAUAAAGGAGCCGAGAGCCUUGAAGAUGAGGAGUGCAGUGGUGGCCAUCGGAAGGUGACAAUGACUAAAUGAGAGCAAUCAUCGAAGCUGAUCCUCUUACAACUACUCAAGAAGUUGCCAAGGAACUCAACAUCAACCAUUCUAUGGUUGUUCGGCAUUUGAAGCAAAUUGGACAGGUGAAAAAGCUCAAGAAGUGGGUGCCUCAUGAGGUGACUGAAUUAAAAAAAAAAACAUCAUUUUCAAGUGUUGUCUUAUUCUACGCAACAACAACAAACCAUUUCUCGAUCGGAUUGUGACGUGACAAAAAGUGCAUUUUAUAUGACAACCGGCAACCACCCGCAAAGUGGUUUGACUGAGAAGAACCUCCAAAGCGCUUCCCAAAGCCAAACUUGCACCAAAAAAGGUCCCAGUUUAUUGAUCUGCUGCCAGUCUGAUCCACUGCAGCUUUCUGAAUCCCAGUGAAACCGCUACACCUGAGAAAGAUGCUCAGCAAAUUGAUGAGAUGCACCGAAACCUGCAACACCUGCACCCAGCAUCAGUCAACAGAAAGGGCCCAAUUCUUCUCCAUGACAACACCCAAUCAGGUCACACAACCAACGCUUCAAAAGCGGAACAAAUUGGGCUACGGAGUUUUGCCUCAUCUGCUUCAUUCACCUGACUUCUUCCCAACUGACUACCACUUCUUCAAGCAUCUCAACAGCUUUUUUUCUGCAGGGAAAACUCUCCCAAAACCAGCAGGAUGCAGAAAAUGCUUUCCAAGAGUUCAUCGAAUCCUGAAGCAUGGAUUUUUACACUACAGGUAUGAACCAACUUAGUUCUUAUUGGCGAAAAUGUGUUGACUGUAACAGUUUCUGUUGUGAUGAAUGAGAUGUGCUUGAGCCUAGUUAUCAUGAUUUAAAAUUCACGGUCGGAAACUGCAAUUACUUACGCACCAACUAAAUAUAAAGUAACUUAUAAAAAUGA